GUGCGUUCUCUUCAACGAAACGAACACAAAAGUGAUUUUAAAGUUGCAAUUUCUGUAGUGUCUUCACCGUCGAUUUCCACUGGUUGCCAUAUUGAUAGACAAUCGCAUGUAGCAAAAAGGGUUUGUGUUGAUUUUGUGCUCAAAACGAGUUGAUCUUGAACCCAAGAAGAUGCAAUCCUAAAUGUACAAGUAAAUAUUCAACAUGUUUUAACUCGCAAAUUGAGAAGUAAAAGGACAAGAUUUAAGCCCGAAUGGCGGGAUCACAGCACGGCUAACUGUACCGCUCGGCCACACAAGCUAGUGACGUGGAAACCCGCCGACAACAUUACAACUCAAAGACAAAGAUGAAAAAAGUAUACACAAUGUCAGCCAUUGCCAUGUGGUGAAUCAAGACAAUAACGCGCGUGUUCUUAGUCAAUGUAAUGGCGUUGGGGAUCAUUUAAAUUUUCUGUUUAAACUUAGCUAACAAAUAUAUUUUGCGGUUUUGGUAAUUUAGUAAUUUAGCUUUGUGGAUAGUUUAACUUGAUUGUUUGGAGUUAACGUAUUCUGUACUAUCAUACAUAGCUACUCCUGUGAAAUAACGACGUUUUCAAAUAUCGUCUCAUCUCUUUUCUUAUGAAAUAAUGACUUUUUGAAAUGUCGUUCA